CACGUAGGGAGCAAGCGUUGUCCGGAUUUAUUGGGCGUAAAGAGCUCGUAGGUGGUUCGGUAAGUCAGGUGUGAAACCUCCAGGCUCAACCUGGAGACGCCACUUGAUACUGCUGUGACUGGAGUCCGGUAGGGGAGACUGGAAUUCCUGGUGUAGCGGUGAAAUGCGCAGAUAUCAGGAGGAACACCGGUGGCGAAGGCGGGUCUCUGGGCCGUAACUGACGCUGAGGAGCGAAAGCGUGGGGAGCGAACAGG
rnacentral:rRNA from 1 species